rnacentral:rRNA from 1 species
CUUAAUCCUAAAGGGCGUGAAAUAAGCAUAAUCGGAUACCGUUUAAUUGACGGGGAGUUGAAUGGAUUUACGAGUGACAAUCUGUCUUUUUCUAAGAAUAAAUGAAUUAGAAGUAUAAGUGAAGAUGCUUAUUAAAACAAAAAGACGAAAAGACCCCGUGAAGCUUAACUAUAAGUCAACUAGAGAAAAAAAAUUUCUUCUUAGUUGAAAGGGUAGUUUUGGUGGGGUGCCAGCACGUUAAAAAGAACAUGAAGUUAAUUUAGUAAGACUAAUAACUAGUGUAAUAAACAAAUUUACGCAGAGGAGAAAACCGAUAAAGUGACCCGACUAAGGUUUAAGAUUAAGUCGACAAAGAAUAAUAGCUACUCCGGGGAUAACAGG